rnacentral:rRNA from 1 species
UACAGAGGUCCCAAGCGUUGUUCGGAUUUAUUGGGCGUAAAGGGUGCGUAGGCGGCGGGGUAAGUUGGGUGUGAAAUCCCGGGGCUCAACCUCGGAAUUGCAUUCAAUACUGCUUCGCUUGAGCACUGGAGAGGAGGCUGGAAUUUACGGUGUAGCAGUGAAAUGCGUAGAUAUCGUAAGGAAGGCCGGUGGCGAAAGCGAGCCUCUGGACAGUUGCUGACGCUGAUGCACGAAGGCCAGGGGAGCAAACGGG